UCAGAAAACCAGCUCUAGUUGGGAAGAAAUCAACAUAUGGCAACAUUUUCUUUAUUGAAUGUUUAUUAUGUUCUGGUGUGACCUUGUCAGUGCCUUUGACUAUACUGCGAUAGGUUAUAGAAAAAUGCUUUCAGGAAUAGCAAAUGUGACCUGACAUUAAUUUGCACAUACAGCACAUUAUUCAUACUGAAAAUAGCAUAAUUUUUGCCUGGGGAAAAAAUCAUACAGACUUUUUUAGUAGUAAGUUUCUAAAUAAAUAUUUAGUUUUUACUGACAGGUGUUUUUUUGUUGUGGUUUUUUGCUUUAAAUGUGUAAUUGGAAUCUAAGUUAACAGUAUUGCAAAAGAUCGAGUUUGGUUGAUCACCUCGCUGUUUUUAAUACAAUGGCCAUCAAGGACCUUAAAACACUUGGCAACAUUUAGUAAACUAAAGAGAACACCUUUGCGAGAUUGAGCAGGAUAACUUCUUUUUUUUUCUUUAUAGAGAAAAAGUGGCAUGAAAUCAUUUUUUCCUGUGGCCACAUAGAAAUAUCUAUCAGACCCAGGAAUAGAAUCUGCCUCCUGGUCUUGUACCAUAACCACAAACCUUCCUUAGAACAAGGGAAACUAAAAUAAGGGCAGGAGGAUUGGAGUCCAAAAAUAUCUCCUGUUUUGGUGGUCUGAGGGAGGUUAUUCCAUCGGGGAUAGGUUCCCAUGCUGUAACCAAUAUCUCUGCUGAUUCUCCCCUCCUUUACAUCCAUAACAAUAUGAGGACCUGGAUGUGUGCACACAACUCCAAGAUCAAGUCAAUGCAGAUUGUGAUUGUGCCCCCAAACUCCAGGGACCUGCACCAAAUGUGGUUUGUCUGGUAGGAUUUGGAGAUCCUCAGGUGAAAAGUUGAUGUGGAGUUCCACAAUGCUCAUCUGCGACCGCCCUGGAGAUCAUUCUCAACUCUUCUGCACCACAGCCAGGGUACACAGGAAACAGCUCCUCCCCUGCUAAAGCCCUGGCAAUUUUUGAUUUCCCAUUUCCUGUUUGAUCAGCAUUGAGAGCGUGCCAGCUUGAGCACAGCUGAUCAUGGAGAGCCUGGCCUGCACAGGAAGUGGAGGAUCUCAUCGCUUUGUGGGGAGAAGGGUCCGUGCAACAGAACUCUGAUCCAGCAGAAGGAACGCUGACAUCUAUGCAAAGAUCACUCAUGGAAUGGAAAAGACGGGCUGCAUGAGGGACACAUAGCAGUGCCAUGUGGAAAAUAAAAGAACUUCGCCAAGUGUACCAGAAGGCAAGGGAGGCGAACAGUCAUUCUGGUGCUGAACCCCACACAUGCCGGUUCUACAAUGAGCUGCAUGCGAUUCGUGGGGGUGACCCUACCAGUACCCCCACAAACAAUAUGCACACCUCCAGGUGUGUGAGUCUAGGGACAACAAGGAGGAUGAUAUGGUGGACGAGGAAGAGGAAGAGGAGAACGGGAGACAGGUGAAUGGUGGAUCUAUUCUCCCCGAGAGCCAGGAAAUAUUUUUAAUCCUGGAGCCCUGGGGGUUGCAGGACAUCACGGUGGCCGACCAUGAUGCUGGGGAAGGCACCUCUGCUGGAAAUGUGUCCUUCAGCAUGUUAUCAACACCUGAAAACAGACUUUUGCUAAUUAGGAGGGGGAGAAACAGAAUGCAGGAGGACAUGUUCACCAAGAUCAUGAAUGCCUCUGGGACAGUUGACACAGGGCUGAGAGCAUGGAGGAUUUCACUGUCUGAGAAGUUAGACAUGGACAUAGAGAGCAGGAAAGCUUCCCAUAAGCAUGAGUGUAUGGUGCAGGAUGAGAUGCUUUGGAUUAUGAGGGACAAAUCAGACACGUUGAGGUGUCUGGUUGAACUUCAGGAGCAGAAGCAGAAAGGUAGAGUCCCUCUGCAGACCCUGGUGCAGAGCCAGCCAGCAUUGCCUGACGCAGAAUCACCCUCCCCAAAGCAUGCCAUGAGGCAUGCGAGAAAAGUCCAUUAUCCCUUUCACUUAACUCAGGGGGUGGGUACAAGGAACAGAAGGUGCCCAUUCACAGACCUUUGAUGGUCUGGAAUGAGGUGUUAUAUUGUUCUUCUUACAGGUAAAAAUGUUUCUCCUGUUCCAAUUUUACAACCCCUUUUCCCCAAGCUAACUUU